rnacentral:rRNA from 1 species
GACGAACGCUGGCGGCGUGCUUAACACAUGCAAGUCGAGCGGUAAGGCCCUUUCGGGGGUACACGAGCGGCGAACGGGUGAGUAACACGUGGGUGACCUGCCCUCAGCUCUGGGAUAAGCCUGGGAAACCGGGUCUAAUACCGGAUAUGACUCCAUGACGCAUGUUGUGGGGUGGAAAGCCUUGUGCGGCUGAGGAUGGGCCCGCGGCCUAUCAGCUUGUUGGUGGGGUGAUGGCCUACCAAGGCGACGACGGGUAGCCGGCCUGAGAGGGCGACCGGCCACACUGGGACUGAGACACGGCCCAGACUCCUACGGGAGGCAGCAGUGGGGAAGUCUUGCGCAAUGGGCGAAAGCCUGACGCAGCGACGCCGCGUGAGGGAUGACGG